UACGUAGGGUGCAAGCGUUAAUCGGAAUUACUGGGCGUAAAGCGUGCGCAGGCGGUUUUGUAAGACAGAGGUGAAAUCCCCGGGCUCAACCUGGGAACUGCCUUUGUGACUGCAAGGCUGGAGUACGGCAGAGGGGGAUGGAAUUCCGCGUGUAGCAGUGAAAUGCGUAGAUAUGCGGAGGAACACCGAUGGCGAAGGCAAUCCCCUGGGCCUGUACUGACGCUCAUGCACGAAAGCGUGGGGAGCAAACAGGAUUAGAAACCCUAGUAGUCC
rnacentral:rRNA from 1 species